rnacentral:tRNA from 1 species
AGCUGGGAGAGCACCUGCUUUGCAAGCAGGGGGUCAUCGGUUCGAUCCCGAUAAGCUCCA